UGGACUUCAACAAUCAUUAAAAAAAAUAUAUGAAAACAACUACUGGUUAAUAAAAAGUAAUUAAAAAACAUUCCAUAUAAAACCUCCUUCCUUUUAAUUAGUUGCCAAGGGAGAUCCAACAGAUUUUCUUUUUUUCUUAGAAAAAAGAGGGGGUGGGUGCGGUGGGUUGGGAACCGAUGCAUGAAAACUCUAACAGGGCUUUCCCUCGUGGCAGUCAAGUGCACCAGCAUAGCGUGUGAGCCUGGUCACGAAUGUUCCUGGCUUGGACUUGAUCAGCUGGAGCCUUGAGAAUUGCUUGUUAACCAUAGGAUUCCCAGAUUGAACAAAGAAUGCUCCAUUCAUCAUCAAAUCUCUUUCUGAUCUCCAAUUCCAAUUCUU
rnacentral:misc_RNA from 1 species